CGACCCCGCGGUUUGCUACAUCGAUGUCGGCUCUUCCCACCCUGGAGGUGCAGCUGCCUCCAAGGGUAGGGCUGCCCGCCCGUUAAAGGGGAACGUGAGCUGGGUUUAGACCGUCGCGAGACAGGUCGGACUCUAAGGGUUGGGGGUGCGAAGCGGCUGAGGGAAAGGAACUCCUAGUACGAGAGGAACAGAGUUCCGGGGCCUCUAGUCUACCGGUUGUCCGACAGGGCACUGCCGGGCAGCCACGCCCUGAGGGAUAAACACUGAAAGCAUCUAAGUGUGAAGCCCUCCCCGAAAAGAGCCGCUUUGCCGGUGCCCGCAAGGGUGCUGGUGGGCCUUCCCCUAGAAGAGGGGGUUGAUAGGGACGGGGUGUAAGUCCCGAGGGAAACCGAGGGAUGAGCCCGCGUCUACUAAUCGGGCUAUCCCUAGUCAGC
rnacentral:rRNA from 1 species